rnacentral:misc_RNA from 1 species
UAAUCAAGUGUUUUUAUGGCACUUUCAAAAAUCCAUAUCCACCUUGUGUGCAAUGUCAUCUCACUGGGGUCGCGUUUGUAAAAUCUCGUGAUCCGUUUGGGAUUUAUAUCUACUCAGAACUUUAGUCAUUUUGUCUGAAACAUAUUAUGAAUAACUUAAUUCAAAAUA